GAUGAAGAACGUAGCGAAAUGCGAUACGUAAUGUGAAUUGCAGAAUUCAGUGAAUCAUCGAGUCUUUGAACGCAUAUUGCGCUCUUUGGUAUUCCGAAGAGCAUGCUUGUUUGAGUAUCAGUAAACACCUCAACCUCUUCUUGAUUUUUCAAAAGGAGGGUGGACUUGAGCUAUCCCAACAACCUUUACCGGUCGGCGGGCGGCUUGAAAUGCAGGUGCAGCUGGACUUUUAUCUGAGCUAAAAGCAUAUCUAUUUAGUCCUCGUCAAACAGGAUUAUUACUUUUGCUGCAGCUAACAUAAAGGAUAAUUGUCCUCUUUGCUGACUGAUGCAGGAUUUUACGACACUUUAUGUGUUGUUCAACUCGAUCUCAAAUCAAGUAAGACUACCCGCUGAACUUAAGCAUAUCAAUAAGCGGAGGA
rnacentral:misc_RNA from 1 species